CAUAGAUAAGUCAGUGUAAUGUAAUGAACUCCAGACUGAAUGUAUUGUAAUGACUCCAGACGUCCUAAAUUAACUCAUCGAAGGGGUGUCACCUAAAUAUCUAGGUGACAGAGUGUCGGAGGUGGUGAAGAAGAGAGUGGUAGAUAUGCUCUUCAGCUGGACACUCUCUUUACCCAAUGAGGCCAAGAUCAGUGAUGCUUAUCAAAUGCUGAAGAAACAAGGUAUUGUCACAGUUGACCCUGAGCUUCCUCUGGAUAAGACACUGAUGCCAUCACCCUCCUCCCGGCCCAAGAACCCUGUGUUUGAGAAUGAGGAGAAGAGCAAGCGACUGGCCGAGCUUCUGAAGAGCAAAAAGCCUGAG